rnacentral:rRNA from 1 species
GGGAACGUACCCUUCGGUUCGGAAUAACUCAGGGGAACUUGAGCUAAUACCGGAUACGCCCUUUUGGGGAAAGGUUUACUGCCGAAGGAUCGGCCCGCGUCUGAUUAGCUUGUUGGUGGGGUAACGGCCUACCAAGGCGACGAUCAGUAGCUGGUCUGAGAGGAUGAUCAGCCACACUGGGACUGAGACACGGCCCAGACUCCUACGGGAGGCAGCAGUGGGGAAUAUUGGACAAUGGGCGCAAGCCUGAUCCAGCCAUGCCGCGUGAGUGAUGAAGGCCUUAGGGUUGUAAAGCUCUUUUGUCCGGGACGACAAUGACGGUACCGGAAGAAUAAGCCCCGGCUAACUUCGUGCCAGCAGCCGCGGUAAUACGAAGGGGGCUAGCGUUGCUCAGAAUCACUGGGCGUAAAGGGCGCGUAGGCGGCCGAUUAAGUCGGGGGUGAAAGCCUGUGGCUCAACCACAGAAUUGCCUUCGAUACUGGUUGGCUUGAGACCGGAAGAGGACAGCGGAACUGCGAGU